rnacentral:rRNA from 1 species
GAUGAACGCUGGCGGCGUGCCUAAUACAUGCAAGUCGAGCGAAUGGAUUAAGAGCUUGCUCUUAUGAAGUUAGCGGCGGACGGGUGAGUAACACGUGGGUAACCUGCCCAUAAGACUGGGAUAACUCCGGGAAACCGGGGCUAAUACCGGAUAACAUUUUGAACCGCAUGGUUCGAAAUUGAAAGGCGGCUUCGGCUGUCACUUAUGGAUGGACCCGCGUCGCAUUAGCUAGUUGGUGAGGUAACGGCUCACCAAGGCAACGAUGCGUAGCCGACCUGAGAGGGUGAUCGGCCACACUGGGACUGAGACACGGCCCAGAAUCCUACGGGAUGCAACAGUAGGGAAUCUUCCGCAAUGGACGAAAGUCUGACGGAGCAACGCCGCGUGAGUGAUGAAGGCUUUCGGGUCGUAAAACUCUGUUGUUAGGGAAGAACAAGUGCUAGUUGAAUAAGCUGGCACCUUGACGGUACCUAACCAGAAAGCCACGGCUAACUACGUGCCAGCAGCCGCGGUAA